AACGAACGCUGGCGGCAUGCCUAACACAUGCAAGUCGAACGAGACCUUCGGGUCUAGUGGCGCAUGGGGGCGUAGCGCGUGGGAAGCUGCCCUUAUGUUUGGAAUAACUCUCCGACAGGGGUGCUAAUACCGGAAAAUGUCUUCGGACCAAAGAUUUAUCGCGCUUGGAUGGGCACGCGUUGGAUUAGCUUGUUGGUACGGUAAAAGCCUAUCAAGGCGACGAUCCAUAGCUGGUUUGUGAGACUGGUCAGCGACACUGAGACUAGGACACGGCCCAGACUCCUGCGCAAGGCGGCAGUGGCGGAUAGUGCACAAUCGGCGGAGGGCUGAUCCAGCACUGCUGCGUGAGUGAUGAUGUUGUGAGGGAUGUAAAGCUCUUUUACCCGGGAUGGUAAUGACGGUACCUAGAGAAUAAGCUCCGGCUAACUCCGUG
rnacentral:rRNA from 1 species